rnacentral:rRNA from 2 species
CCCUAUUCAGUGUAACAGCUGUGGUAGUGGGUUUGGUCGCUCGCAUUUAAAUUGGAAGGGUAAUGGUGGACCGCACUUCUCCCUUAGUAGGACGUUGCGACCUGUCAAAUAAUAUUCUAAGUAUUUGGCUAAUUUGUCUGUUUUUAGGCAGUACUGAAAGGUAUUUCCUUUAACAGUUUUAGCCAUUUAAAUACUGGAUAAAAUUGACAGUAACGAAUCAUGGUGUUGAGCCACUUGAAAUUGUAUAUUUUAUAUGUAUAAUGGAAAGUGUCCUUGUGGCUGUUUGCAAGUGGGUUGGUAAUUAGUUUUAGUCGGAUUUUGGUCCGUCUAGCUAUUCCGCCUACUGUUGGUAAACUGUUCCUUGGACAGUGCUUAUAACACCGGUCGGCAGCGAUUCAGGUUCAGGCUCUUAUCCGACCCGUCUUGAAACACGGACCAAGGAGUUUAGCUGUACGCAAGUCAUUGGGUGUAUAAAACCC